GGCCAUAAUCACAUUGAAACACCGGUUCUCGUACGAUCACCGAAAUUAAGCAACGUCGAUUCUGGUCAGUACCUAGAAGAGUGACCACUUGUGAAUACGAGAUGCCGUAAG